CAGUCGCCGCGGUAAUACGGAGGGUGCAAGCGUUAAUCGGAAUUACUGGGCGUAAAGCGCACGCAGGCGGUCUGACAAGUCAGAUGUGAAAUCCCCGGGCUUAACCUGGGAACUGCAUUUGAAACUGUCAGGCUGGAGUCUUGUAGAGGGGGGUGGAAUUCCAGGUGUAGCGGUGAAAUGCGUAGAGAUCUGGAGGAAUACCGGUGGCGAAGGCGGCCCCCUGGACAAAGACUGACGCUCAGGUGCGAAAGCGUGGGGAGCAAACAGGAUUAGAUACCCCUGUAGCCCUGUCUCUUAUACA
rnacentral:rRNA from 1 species